rnacentral:rRNA from 1 species
GAUGAACGCUAGCGGCAGGCUUAAUACAUGCAAGUCGAGGGGUAGCAAGAUUGUAGCAAUACAAUUGUUGACGACCGGCAAACGGGUGCGGAACACGUACACAACCUUCCUACAAGUGGGGAAUAGCCCAGAGAAAUUUGGAUUAAUACCCCGUAACAUAGCGAUGUGGCAUCACAUUGCUAUUAUAGCUUCGGCGCUUGUUGAUGGGUGUGCGGCUGAUUAGAUAGUUGGCGGGGUAACGGCCCACCAAGUCUACGAUCAGUAGCUGAUGUGAGAGCAUGAUCAGCCACGCGGGCACUGAGACACGGGCCCGACUCCUACGGGAGGCAGCAGUAAGGAAUAUUGGACAAUGGACGCAAGUCUGACCCAGCCAUGCCGCGUGAAGGAUUAAGGUCCUCUGGAUUGUAAACUUCUUUUAUAAGGGACGAAAAAAGGUCUUUCUAGAUCGUCUGACGGUACCUUAUGAAUAAGCACCGGCUAACUCCGUGCCAGCAGCCGCCGUAAAAC